rnacentral:rRNA from 1 species
UACGUAGGUGGCAAGCGUUAUCCGGAAUUAUUGGGCGUAAAGCGCGCGCAGGCGGUUUCUUAAGUCUGAUGUGAAAGCCCACGGCUCAACCGUGGAGGGUCAUUGGAAACUGGGAAACUUGAGUGCAGAAGAGAAAAGCGGAAUUCCACGUGUAGCGGUGAAAUGCGUAGAGAUGUGGAGGAACACCAGUGGCGAAGGCGGCUUUUUGGUCUGUAACUGACGCUGAGGCGCGAGAGCGUAGGGAGCAAACAGG